rnacentral:rRNA from 1 species
AUUGAACGCUGGCGGCAGGCCUAACACAUGCAAGUCGAACGAGUGGCGGACGGGUGAGUAAUGUCUGGGACACUGCCUGAUGGAGGGGGAUAACUACUGGACACGGUAGCUAAUACCGCCUACCAUCGGAUGUGCCCAGAUGGGAUUAGGUUGUUGGUGGGGUAACGGCCCACCAAGGCGACGAUCCCUAGCUGGUCUGAGAGGAUGACCAGCCACACUGGAACUGAGACACGGUCCAGACUCCUACGGGAGGCAGCAGGGGGGAAUAUUGGACAAUGGGCGAAAGCCUGAUGCAGCCAUGCCGCGUGUAUGAAGAAGGUCUUCGGAUUGUAAAGUACUUUCAGCGGGGAGGCGUUACCAGCAGAAUAAGCACCGGCUAACUCCGUGCCAGCAGCCGCGGUAAUUC